rnacentral:tRNA from 1 species
UUCUCAGUAGCUCAAUGGUAGAGUAGUGGACUGUUAAUCCAUUUGUUCUUGGUUCAAAUCCAAGUUGAGAAG